rnacentral:rRNA from 1 species
CAGCCGCCACGGUAAUACGUAGGUCCCGAGCGUUGUCCGGAUUUAUUGGGCGUAAAGCGAGCGCAGGCGGUUAGAUAAGUCUGAAGUUAAAGGCUGUGGCUUAACCAUAGUACGCUUUGGAAACUGUUUGACUUGAGUGCAAGAGGGGGGAGUGGAAUUCCAUGUGUAGCGGUGAAAUGCGUAGAUAUAUGGAGGAACACCGGUGGUGAAAGCGGCUCUCUGGCUUGUAACUGACGCUGAGGCUCGAAAGCGUGGGGAGCAAACAGGAUUAGAUACCCGAGUAGUCCCUGUCUCUUAUACA